GAUAGUAUAUCAGGCUAUCAAUAACAUUAUAUCACUGAUCAAUAGGCUCUGCAUUAAACCAAAACUCUUUCUGAAGUGAGAAUCUCUUCUUUAUCUGCCAAAAUUCAUGAGGAAGAAACACCAGGGAGAAGAAUCCAUGGGUUAUUAGAAGCUGUGACAUAGUGACUGUGUAUUACUUGACUGGGUGUAUCACUGAAGAGAACCUGCAAGUUUCAGCAUCUUCAUCAUUAUCAUUGCCAGCAUCAUCAACAUAAUCACUAUCACUUACACUCACACACUUCUUAUCCGCUAUGACUGUAGAGUAAUAUAGCCUUCACAUUGUUUCCACAUACUAUGCUCAUUUGCUUCUCACAAAACUCUGUGUGGUUGUUAAGGCAGCUAUUUCUAUAAUUUCACUGGAAGUUUACCUUGUGUCCCGAAAGAAAAAAUAAAUACAUUGUAAAAGUUAAAAGCACAAAACACUACAAUUUGGAUCAAGUUGCGUGUAAAAACAAAAUCUGGAUACCUAUAGCACAGCUACUAAUCAUACGGUUACCUUCAUUAUUGAUUUCCAGAAGAACAUCCUUCUUUUAAGAAAAUAUAUCAUUGCACUGAAGACUGGUGAUUUUAACCAUUCUCGUUGUACCUUUACUUUAAUGCCCCUUUAACAUUUUUAUGCAAAAACAACACUAAUACUUUCCAGGCAUUUCAUUAGAAACACUGGAUUCAUAUAAGGUAAAAUACAAAGUGAGAAGUAGCAAUAAGAUUAUAAUGAGCAUCAUAUAAUCACUCAUCAUUCAUGGCAAAAGAAAUCAAACCAAAAUAGCACAAAACACCAGCCAAGUAGGAAUGAGGAAAUGCUGCCCCCUACAAUCAUUAUUAUGAAUGUGGGUUCUUUAAUUUCACUUGAGCUCAUAAAAGCAUAGUCUAAUAUAAUGUAUCCCUGUCUCUUCAAUUGACCAUCAUUUACCUUCCCGUCCAGAAAACACAUUUAUGAAUUAGGUUCAAAACCAUUUUUGGUUGUGUGCAUUUCAUACUCCAAGAUUCCUGCUGAAUGGUGUUAUAGAAAGUACAGUUAUUAGUGCUGAAAUUCACCUCAAUUCUAUUUCUGAAAAAAGGUCUCUUAAGC
rnacentral:lncRNA from 1 species